GUUGGUCCCGUCUGGUCUUUGGACAGGAGAGAAGCUUGCCAGGGCCCCAGAGACCAGAUUACCUCAUCUAAAACCAACGCAGUAUCUGAAACGUCUGAAAAGGGGGCAGAAUCUCAACGAGGGGCUGUCCUUGGGCCCACCUGAGGACCAGCUGUCUCCUAGUCAGGCCGUCUAACCACCACACCGGAAGUGCUGCCUGAUCAAGGUCAGAGAGUCAUUUGCAUAGUUGAAUUUGAAAACAAAGGUCAAAGGCAUUCUUUAUAACUUACUGUAGACAUUUCAAAAGAACGAUCUUUGACUAAUACUAAGAAGUUACAGAAAUAGAUUUGUUACUGGCUGAUGAGAAUGGAAAAGCCAAACAUUUUCCGAAAGGAAACAAAAGGAGCCAUUUUCUCUUUCAGAUAAUAAAAUCUCUUGCAUGGGCCCAUGUCUCCUGAGUCGUUCUGGGGAAACGAGGGUCGCGGCGAGAUACCCUUUCACCAGACACUGAGGUAAGUGCUUUAAAAUAUUAUCUAAUCUUAUCUUCAUGCCAAUCCUACAGAGGAUUUUACCCAAGUAGAAGAAUGAAUCUUAGAGUUGUUGAGAAUCUUGCCGAAGGACAUACAGUUUGACACUGGCAGUCUGUGCUCUGGCACAUGCCCUUGACCACUAUACCAACUUGGCCAUGAAAAUGUGCCCUUCCCCCUGGUCCAGUUCAUUCUCUACUGGGGAGACCACCCUCUUAUUCUGCCCUUACUUGCUGAGCUCUCUGUGCCAGUCCCAGGAAGGCAGAGCCAAAUUCCUAGCCCCUGCCAGCCCACCCCAACCAGCCUGGCCUUUGGAGUGGGAGAAGGGGUGAAUUCAGGCAGAAGGGAUCCAUAAUAUCCCACUGUGAAGAAUUUUUUUUUUCUCCUGAAUUCCCUUUAUGUAAAAGCAGAGCCUCCCAAAACAAUCCAGUGGUCAUAAAUCGCACCCUCCACCCCAACUUUUGCCACCAGGGAAGAUUGAUUCCUGUCAUAUUGUUGUUGGGCAGUUUCAUCUGGGGAGGUCUCCCCCUGUGCACUACGUGAAACCUCAACCUGGACCGGGGAGGGUUCUUGACUCUGAUUGAGAAAGAAUUCUCAAAUAGGUCAGACGAGUGUACCUAAGGAAGGAAUUCAUUAAAGCAAGAAUAGUAGUGGAUGGCAGCAACCACACAGGCAACAGAAAGCAAGGAAGAACAGAGGAAUGGGAAGCUCAUUAAACUCCAGCUCAACAUAGGCCAAAUCCCUUGCCAACUCCUACAGCCAGGAUUACCUGGCAUCCAGUGUCCGCUUGGAUCUGAUGGCGUGGGAACUAAGGCCCUUCCACCCCAGAACUUGGGGGAGCCACAGAACACUGGAUAGAGUGAGAUUAUGUUGAGAACUUCCCAAAGGCAAAGAAAAGAGCUUUCGGGCAGGCUACUAAAGAGUAUGGUGGUAUAGCUGCAGGCCUGUCUGAGUCACUAGGCAACAGGAACUUGCAGGCCCAAAUCAGAGAUCUCAGUUGCCCUUCCCUACUUGUCUGAAUAGGACAGAGAGAGAGACUUGUGCUUAAGUCUAGAAAACUGAAUGAAACAGCAAAGUAACAAAGACACCCCUGAAAGAGCGUAGAGACAAAAUGCAGUAAAUUAAGGCAAAAAGUACACACUCGAAGAAAGGGAGUGCAGGCAACCUUAGAGAGUGGGUGCACUUAAGAUUCUGUCUUUUAAGGACUUUAAGAAUGGGGCAAAGGCCAAGAGAGGCACAUAGGCUUGACAUGUGGUCUCAUGACAUCUGCCUCCAGUGAGAGACAUUAUGUCACUAUCCAUCAUCUGCCCUCUGUCCUCUAGAUACUCUGUAAGAUAAACCUAACACAAGGAAUUUCUUGAUCCUGCUCUUCUCCAAGAUAGCAGUUACCCUCAAGCAGUGGAAACAUACCAUUUAGGACAGCUUGCCCUACUUAAGAUAGGGUCAACUGUUGGUUAAUUACCAUGAAAUAUGUUAGGAAUCUUACCUCCUAACUACCUGGUUUAUAAAAUGGAAUCUUAGCCUUAAGAUGGAGUCCCUCCUGUUCUUACUAUAUUAUUUAUAUCUUGGCAUUUUUCAUCAUAGGCAGGAAAAAUUAACCAUGGCGGUUUUAGCAUGUCCCUGCCCUAGAUAAGUAUCUCUUAUCUAUUCUCCUAAAGGCCCAUUUAUCUUUCCUAAAAGUCAUUUGUUUUUCCCAGAAGUGCCCUUCUCCUCCCUUUUCUCUAUUAAGAUGGUAUAUAAGCCCCUAAUUCUAACUACCUCCUUGAGUUACAUUUCUCUGUGAAUUCCCAUGCACAUAUGUGAAUAAAAAAUCUGGUUUUUCCCUUGCUCAUCAGUAUGUUGCCAGUUUAAUUUUCUGGCUCCCAAGGACUGAACCUAAGAAGGUAGGAAAAAAGUUUUCCUUCUACACAAUGCCAAUUUCAAUCUGGAGAGAGAAACGCUGGUGGUGUUAUUCUUCAGAUAGAAGGGGACUGACUGGCCCUUGACCAGUUGCUGAUAAGCAGGAUGGAUUUGUGCUAACUUUUCUUCCAAGUGGUCACUGUGAAUCCUAGAACAUUAUAAUCUCUGCAACUCAGUUACUUUCACACAAAGCUAACAGAUACAGGAAAACUGCUCCCUCAGCUUCAUCAUCAUGCUUCCAGCUAAAAAAAGGCCCACCAGGAAGGUCCACUGCCCCAAGCAGAGGGUCAUCUGGCCUUAGGGCAAGUGGGCACUUACACUUGGGAAUUCACCAAUGCAUCUGCAGUGCAGCCCAGAGGGCCAGAGGUCAAACUGACUCACACUAAUCAAACUCACCAAGCACUGAUGGAAAAACCAGAAUGCUAUCUUCCCAUUUUGCAGAGAAGCCUGUCUGGCUGACAUAAGGCUCACACGGCAGGUCUGGUCAGUCUCUCUUUGCCAGUGGGUGAGUCUGGCAGGAAACUACGCUACAGUGAGAAGGUUGUUAGGUGGGCCUAAGACCUCUUGGUGUAUGUACCUCAGCGGCCCAAAGCAAUGAAAGGGUCAGAUGCCCGUGAGAAGAAGCCCUUGGCUGGACACGCAGAUUGUUAGGAGAAAGCACAUACUCAUCAGCUCAGAGCUUAUUUCAGAGCAGACCCUUCCUUACACACUGAGCAACUUGGAAAUGCUCUCAGUGGGGGGAGGGAAGCCCACCUACUCAGACCACCCCCACCCAGGAAACUGUGGGGAGGAGUCGGAAUGCUUCUGACUUCUUAGCAUCUUCCUGAGGUGUCCCUGGCCUAUGGCUGGUUAUCUGCUGGCACAUCCGGUGAGAAAAGCCGGGGGACUGCUGUUCGGUUGCAGGAGGGUUCAGUAUUAGGAGGGUAGCAUUUAUAUAAAGAGCCAAAGAUCAGUUUGGGAAGGCAAAGUUCAUCUUUGGACAGAUCCUGGUACCCUAACACCUAGAUCUGUGGACACCACAGACAAAACCUUCUACCCAAAGAUCACCUAUCUCUGACCCCCCCUGCCCAAAAAUUCAACUCUGCAGUCAUUCUUUGGAUUAAGGUACUGUGGUCCUAUGAGACCCCUUUUGAAAUGUAAAUCCACCUGCAAAAAAAAAAAAAUACAGAGCUAUUUAAUCCAGUAUCCUUGGAAUUUAGGAGGUGAAUAAAUGAAUCCUUGAACUAUCCUGAAAUUUCUGGCUAACUCUGGGGGAUCCUUUCUAUGGAAGAACAUUCUUUUUCAACACACUGCUUGGGAAGGACCAGAGAUAUAAAUAAAGGAAGAAUCAGGGAGGAAGCCAUUGAUAUGUAGAUAAGGAGCAAUUUCCAAGACAAUAUUGUUAAAUAAAAAAGCCAGGUGCACAUCAGGUGACUAACAUCUUAAUAUUUAAGUAAUAAAAGUCCAACACACCUUCAUUUUAGCUGUUAAGUGUGGUGAACUGCUCUGGAAAGAGAAGCUGGUCAAGACUGAGGCCAAAGAACUGAGAAGGAAACUUCUCACCACAUUCUCUUUUCAACUUUUGACUGUUGGCCCAUGUGCUGGUGUAUCAAUUCGAAGGGCAAUUUGUUUUUUAAAAUAAUUUGGCCUGAUACGAAACUCUGGAUUCUCCUGCCUGUAGCUCUAAGACCCAGUUCUGUGCCCUGGGGCUAACGUGCCCCCAGGGUCAUAUUACAGCCACGUCCAGGGACCCUGGCAAGGGAGCAGAUGCUGAGUGGGAGCAACACACAGAAUUCUCUGGCAAGAGUCUGGGGCAUGGCCCGUAUCUCCGCUUUAACACCAGAGGAAUGGAAGAAACAAAAGCAUCUAACC